UCUAUUUAUAUGUUUUGAUAUUCGGCUAACUAUACUUAAAGUA
rnacentral:sRNA from 1 species